ensembl:snRNA U1 U1 spliceosomal RNA
UUGUUUGCCUUGCGUGAUUUAUUGUAGCCGAAGGCGGUUCACCCAGGGCGAGGCUCAGCCAUUGCACUCCGGCUGUGCUGACCCCUGCGAAUUCCCCAAAUGUGGGAAUCUCGACUGCAUAAUUUCUGGUAGUGGGGACUGCGUUCGCGCUCUCCCUU